rnacentral:rRNA from 1 species
AAAGAUUAAGCCAUGCAUGUCUAAGUAUGAACUAUCUAUUGUGAAACCGCGAAUGGCUCAUUACAACAGCCAUAGUUUACUGGAUAUAUUCCAUUACAUGGAUAACUGUGGUAAUUCUACAGCUAAUACACGCAUCAAAAGCCCGACUAUGGGAGGGCUGCGUUAGUUACUUCAAACUGAUCAGUCUUCGGACUGCAUUCAAGUGAGAUUGAACUAUUUAGCUGAUCGCACGGUCUAAGAACCGGCGACAUAUCCUUCAAAUGUCUGCCUUAUCAACUGUCGAUGGUAGAUUAUGCGCCUACCAUGGUUGUAACGGGUAACGGAGAAUCAGGGUUUGAUUCCGGAGAGGGAGCCUGAGAAAUGGCUACCACAUCCAAGGAAGGCAGCAGGCACGCAAAUUACCCAUUCCCGGCACGGGGAGGUAGUGACGAAAAAUAACAAGCAGUUCUCUUUGAGUUCCGGCAUUGUAAUGGGAACAACUUAAAUCAUUUAUCGAGGAUCUAUUGGAGGGCAAGUCUGGUGCCAGCAGCCGCGGUAAUUCCAGCUCCAAUAGCGUAUAUUAAAGUUGUUGCGGUUAAAAAGCUCGUAGUUGGAUCUACGAUCCAGGCCAGUGGUCGCCCUUCUCGGGUGCACUGCUCGGACUGAUCGACAUAUCUGGUGAACGAUUGUUGCUCUUCAUUGAGUGACUCUAGUUGCUGGAACGUUUACCUUGAAAAAAUUGAAGUGCUCAAAGCAGGCAUAUGCCUGAACAUUGCUGCAUGGGAUAAUUGAAUAGGACUUCGGUUCUAUUUUGUUGGUUUCGGAACGCGGAGUAAUGAUUAAUAGGGACAGACGGGGGCAUUCGUAUUGCUGCGUUAGAGGUGAAAUUCUUGUAUCGUAGCAAGACGACCUACUGCGAAAGCAUUUGCCAAGAAUGUUUCCAUUAAUCAAGAACGAAAGUUAGAGGUUCGAAGGCGAUCAGAUACCGCCCUAGUUCUAACCGUAAACGAUGUUAACUAGCGACUCGCAGGUGUUACUUUAACGGCCCUGCGAGGAGCUCCCGGGAAACCUAAGUGUUCGAAUUCCGGGGGAAGUAUGGUUGCAAAGCUGAAACUUAAAGGAAUUGACGGAAGGGCACCACCAGGAGUGGAGCUUGCGGCUUAAUUUGACUCAACGCGGGGAAACUCACUUGGUCAGGACACUGUAAGGAUUGACAGAUUGAAAGCUCUUUCUUGAUUCGGUGGAUGGUGGUGCAUGGCCGUUCUUAGUUGGUGGAGUGAUUUGUCUGGUUAAUUCCGAUAACGAGCGAGA